GAAAUGCGAUAAGUAGUGUGAAUUGCAGAAUUCAGUGAAUCAUCGAAUCUUUGAACGCACAUUGCGCCCCUUGGUAUUCCAUGGGGCAUGCCUGUUCGAGCGUCAUUUGUACCCUCAAGCUCUGCUUGGUGUUGGGUGUUUGUCCCCGUCUCCGCGCGUGGACUCGCCCCAAAGUGAUUGGCAGCCGGUGUACUGGUCCCGGAGCGCAGCACAUGUCGCGCAAACGAGUGCCUUGGUACGGCGGCGUCCAUAAGCCCCUCUCUCACGCUCUUGACCUCGGAUCAGGUAGGGAUAUCCGCUGAACUUAAGC
rnacentral:misc_RNA from 1 species